UCCUUAGCUAAUAGACUUCCAAGUGCCC
rnacentral:piRNA from 1 species